ACUAAGCCAUGCGAGUCUUUGUAGUAAUACAAGGCAGACGGCUCAGUAACACGUAGUCAACCUACCCUAUGGACAAGAAUAAUCUCGGGAAACUGGGCAUAAUUCUUGAUAGAUCAUAAUGCCUGGAAUGGUUUAUGGUUAAAAUGAUUCGUCGCCAUAGGAUGGGACUGCGGCCUAUCAGCUUGUUGGUGAGGUAAUGGCCCACCAAGGCGAUUACAGGUACGGGCUCUGAGAGGAGAAGCCCGGAGAUGGGUACUGAGACACGGACCCAGGCCCUAUGGGGCGCAGCAGGCGAGAAAACUUUGCAAUGUGCGAAAGCACGACAAGGUUAAUCCGAGUGAUUUCUGCUAAAGAAAUCUUUUGCCAGUCGUAAAACCGCUGGUGAAUAAGGGGUGGGCAAGUUCUGGUGUCAGCCGCCGCGGUAAAACCAGCACCUCAAGUGGUCAGGAUGAUUAUUGGGCCUAAAGCAUCCGUAGCCGGCUUUGUAAGUUUUCGGUUAAAUCCAUGUGCUCAACGCAUGGGCUGCCGAAAAUACUGCAUAGCUAGGGAGUGGGAGAGGUAGACGGUACUCAGUAGGUAGGGGUAAAAUCCUUUGAUCUAUUGAUGACCACCUGUGGCGAAGGCGGUCUACCAGAACACGUUCGACGGUGAGGGAUGAAAGCUGAGGGAGCAAACCGGAUUAGAUACCCGGGUAGUCCCAGCUGUAAACGAUGCAGACUAGAUGAUGCAUUGGCAUAAUAGCCAUUGCAGUGUCUCAGGGAAGCCGUUAAGCCUGCCGCCUGGGAAGUACGUACGCAAGUAUGAAACUUAAAGGAAUUGGCGGGGGAGCACCACAAGGGGUGAAGCCUGCGGUCAAU
rnacentral:rRNA from 1 species